rnacentral:ncRNA from 1 species
AAAAUUGUUUUCAUUCCCUUUUCCUAACAAAAAAAAAAUGUGUUUUGCCCCCUGCCCAACCCCCCUGGGUAACCCGUGGAACCUCCUUCGUGAUUGGGAUAGGGGCUUGCAAUUGUUCCCCUUGAACGAGGAAUUCCCAGUAAGCGCGAGUCAUAAGCUCGCGUU